rnacentral:rRNA from 1 species
UACGUAGGGUGCAAGCGUUAAUCGGAAUUACUGGGCGUAAAGCGUGCGCAGGCGGUUUUGUAAGUCUGUCGUGAAAGCCCCGGGCUCAACCUGGGAAUUGCGAUGGAGACUGCAAGGCUUGAAUCUGGCAGAGGGGGGUAGAAUUCCACGUGUAGCAGUGAAAUGCGUAGAGAUGUGGAGGAAUACCGAUGGCGAAGGCAGCCCCCCUGGGAUAACGACUGACGCUCAUGCACGAAAGCGUGGGGAGCAAACAGG